rnacentral:rRNA from 1 species
AGAGUGAACGCUGGCGGUAGGCCUAACACAUGCAAGUCGAACGGCAGCACAGUGGUAGCAAUACCAUGGGUGGCGAGUGGCGGACGGGUGAGGAAUACAUCGGAAUCUACCUUUUCGUGGGGGAUAACGUAGGGAAACUUACGCUAAUACCGCAUACGCCCUUUGGGGGAAAGCCGGGGAUCGCAAGACCUGGCGCGGAUAGAUGAGCCGAUGUCGGAUUAGCUAGUUGGUGAGGUAAUGGCUCACCAAAGGCGACGAUCCGUAGCUGGUCUGAGAGGAUGAUCAGCCACACUGGAACUGAGACACGGUCCAGACUCCUACGGGAGGCAGCAGUGGGGAAUAUUGGACAAUGGGCGCAAGCCUGAUCCAGCCAUACCGCGUGGGUGAAGAAGGCCUGGUUGUAAGACCUUUGUUGGAAGUAAAGACAAUACGUAAUACCGUACGUUC